AGAGCCGGCACCGCGCUGCGGCCGCCCCCGCACGGAGCUUCGCAGCGUCCUGCAGACUCGGGCAGAGCCGGUGCUUGGAGACACGAGUGUCCCGCGGAAAUCACCCGAGCCCAGCUCUGCCCGCGCGUUUGCUUGUAAUAGCUGCCUAGCAGUAAAGCUGUCCUCGAAAAACUCUUUGCUCACGUAAGUGAGGAGAAAAUGAAGAGAAAGAGCUCGUCUGUUGGGCAGCCGGGUCUAACGGCAGCCGGCAAAAGAACAUGUCAGUAAAGCCUGAGCCAGGCAGGGGGAGUUGGCAGCGUGGGUGUUUUCCAUUCGAAGCCCCGGGAGGAAAUAACGUGCCCUCCUUCUUGGCUGGGGAGAAAAAAGGCAGGCAUUUCUCUUGCAGUCAUCACCGCAGAACCUGAACAUCUCAGUCUAUUAAAGUGUGCCUGCAAAGGCAUAAAGCAUUAGUGAAGACCCACUUGUGUGUUGGACUCUACUUUUAUGAAAGCUAAAUGUACAAUCCAAGGGGCAUUUACUGGACAAGCAUUUUGGAAAGGAGAACUAAGAAAAAAAAAUCACCUUGAGGAAUUUCUGAAUUUUUUUGGCAUCUUAAAUGGUAUGCAACACACCUUUACUUUAUCCUCUAAUUCAAUUAAGAUUUAUGCCAUCAGCUAGGAUAGAAGUGUAGUUCUGCCCAUAUCAUGACCCUAACAUGAAAAGUUACACAUGGACUUAGUCUACAAGCCUGGAAGCUAGCCACUCUGUCUGGGAAUAUUUAUGCAUAUGACUAAACACGCACAUACUCAUCUAUUAAUAUGUUUACAGAAGCAGACCUUACAUAAUCUAAAAUUAUUGCAGGAUAAUUUUGCUAUUACUAAUCGUGUGGUCUAAAACCAGAUUGUUUAUUCUUUUGUUAGUAUUUGAAUAACAAUAAUAGGAUAUGUUACCUUAAUGGACAUUAAUUGUACUUACUUUUCCAACAAGUAUGUUAGAUUACUUUUUAAAUUCUUUGCUAGAAACAAAUGGAAUUGAAAGAAUUUGUGGUCAUUAGAUGAAUCCAAUUCACAGAUAUUUUAAAUAUUUGGUGAAAAUACAAUAAAUGUCUGGAGUAAUAGUUUCUAUGUCUGUUGUUAAAUUCGUCUGUCAUUUAAAAUUAAAUGUAUCUAAUUCCAGAAAGUAUUUUUCAUCCAUUAUUAAAAUACCAGAUUUCAAUAAAAAUAUAAGAGUUCCAGUAGCAACACUGAGCAUUCCAAGUUGCCUUUAUUGUGUGCAUAUAUAUAGUCUCAGCUUUGAUCAAGUUCAAAAGGCAAAAUAUGGUCUGACUCUGGAGGGAUUUGUCCUUUUCCUUUCUGAAAUACCAUAGAACACUUAGGUGUCCUUCAGUGCUGUGACCCUGCAAUUGGCAGCACCUUCACAAGCCUCGGCUCCAGGGAAGAUGUCGGGGUGGCCAGGUCCAGGACUCUCCAGCUGGAUAUUCCCCAGCACUAGUGUUGUGAUGAGGGAGGACAGACCUAGUGUGCAAAAAGUUAUAUGGAAAUGGGAUGCACCCUCCUCUUCAGGGACACACAGGAAACAGAAAAGAUAAACCAGCACCCGAAAGCCUGAUCAAAACACCAGAAAAACAGCGAUCAGCAGGAUAAUCUACUAAUGAACUGCUGUGUUGGCAGCUGGCUUGGUGUCAGGCUGUUCUACCUUUUGUUUUAAUAACCUAGCUGAAGAGGCUUAGCCUCCAACAUUGACAUUGAAACUUGGCUGGCCAGCAGACACCUCUACCAUUGAAAAUCUGUAAGGUUGUUUCCAAAAGUUUUGUCCUGCAGCCCAGCGAAUUCCUGCCGGUGAAAGACUUCAGGAGAACAUUGCUUCUCUUGAUGACUGUGCCCACCAGAAGCAAACACGUUACCCUGGCCUAGCACCUGGGUGAGUGAGAAGCCCAAAGGCUUUACCGCUGACCAUCUCUCACAGAUGAUGACCUCUUCCAAUAACACAUCCUUGUUUUUCUCUUAGGUAUUCAGUCUCUGGUACUACAGCAAAGAUACCACAGUGGCGUCAGCCUACCUCAGGGCCAAAUUUUAAUACCUUUUCUGCUCAAGAUGGGAAGUAGUAAAAUCACUUGUAGAGGAAUGUGUUUAUUUAACAGUAACAGAUAUGGAUCUUACCAGUUCAUUCUAAGUGAAUCAGUAUUUGCAUCUCUGUGGUAAUAAUUUCCUAAUUUAAUUUUUGUACACAAAGCAUGUAUUAUGCAGUCCUUAUGUUCCAUCUAUUAUUUCAGCCACCAUUAUCAUUUUAUGAUUUGUUUUUGUAACUGUUGGUAAUUGCACAAGAGACAAGUUAACAAAUUAAGCUGCUUUGCAGUUAAGGUUGGGGCAAGCUGUCUGAUUUCCUGUAUCUGAGAUGGGACAUAUCUGCUCGUGUCACUGCUCUCGUGUCAUGUCACCCAAACAUGCCUUCACUGAUACGUAAGGUUGUCAUUUAACAGCUGACACUUAGCUGCAGUUCCUGCUUCUGGCUACUUGAUGUUUUUAUCUCAUUCAUAGUUAUAAUUAUUAUGACAAGUGCAAGUUGUUCCACAGUGACAGCAUUGUUUUUUUAGUGACAGCGUUUAUUUUAGUUAUAAUGUGCCUGUAGCUGGGUCCUGUCCAUGGCAUUGGAAAUCAAAGUCAUUGAUAAUCACGGAGCUAUUCACUUCAGUGAAAUAAUGUUAAGUAUUUAUAAUGAAAUAAAAUAGGAUGUAAGGUACUAGGCAGAAUUAAAGGCAGCAAUCCAGACAACAACUUUUUUGAUGAAACUAUUUCUGUGGGAGAAAAAAUG